CCUACGGGAGGCAGCAGUGGGGAAUAUUGGGCAAUGGGCGCAAGCCUGACCCAGCAACGCCGCGUGAAGGAAGAAGGCUUUCGGGUUGUAAACUUCUUUUGUCAGGGAAGAGUAGAAGACGGUACCUGACGAAUAAGCCACGGCUAACUACGUGCCAGCAGCCGCGGUAAUACGUAGGUGGCAACCGUUGUCCGGAUUUACUGGGGGGCAAGGGCGUGUAGCCGGGGUGACAAGUCAGAUGUGAAAUCCUGUGGCUUAACCGCAGAACUGCAUCUGAAACUGUUGAUCUGGAGUACUGGAGAGGCAGAUGGAAUUCCUGGUGUAGCGGUGAAAUGCGUAGAGAUUAGGAGGAACACCAGUGGCGAAGGCGGUCUGCUGGACAGCGACUGACGGUGAGGCGCGAAAGCGUGGGGAGCAAACAGGAUUAGAUACCCCUGUAGUC
rnacentral:rRNA from 1 species